GAUGAACGCUGGCGGCGUGCCUAACACAUGCAAGUCGAACGGAGUUAUUAUUAUGAAGUCUUCGGAUGGAUUAAUAAUAACUUAGUGGCGGACGGGUGAGUAACGCGUGGGUAACCUGCCUCAUACAGGGGGAUAACAGUUGGAAACGACUGCUAAAACCGCAUAACACUGCCCUAUCGCAUGGUGGAGCAGUUAAAUAUUUAUAGGUAUGAGAUGGGCCCGCGUCUUAUUAGCUAGUUGGUGAGGUAAUGGCUCACCAAGGCGACGAUCAGUAGCCGGCUUGAGAGAGUGACCGGCCACAUUGGGACUGAGACACGGCCCAAACUCCUACGGGAGGCAGCAGUGGGGAAUAUUGCACAAUGGGGGAAACCCUGAUGCAGCGACGCCGCGUGAGUGAAGAAGUAUUUCGGUAUGUAAAGCUCUAUCAGCAGGGAAGAAAAUGACGGUACCUGACUAAGAAGCCCCGGCUAACUACGUGCCAGCCGCCGCCGUAACAC
rnacentral:rRNA from 1 species